UUGUUUGUUUUACGACCUUUUCGAAUUUUUGAAACAAAAAUGUUUCGAAAAACAUUCAUACUUUAGAAAUAAUGUGUGUUUACUACCAGUUAAAAUAAUUGCCAAGUAGAUCUAUAUAUAAAUAUAUAGAUAAUACUUAUGAGUAGGUAUACUAGGUCGGUAGGUAUACGGUAUCCCUAUAAUAUGUAAUAUACAUUUUUUUCCAUAGAACAAAAGUGAUGAGCAAUACGAGGAAGCAAUUAGUUUUUUACAAUGAUGGGUACGAUUUACGCUUUUUGUUAAAGUACCGUAGGUACUUAUUGCACAUUUCUGAAAAUAUUACUAUUUUUUUAUAAUUCCAUUAGUUCCGUGUUUUUUACCCUUUUAAAAUCCGAACUAACAAAAAAUAUAUUGUAGGUAUACGCCUAGCUAUGUUGUUCCAGGUCAAAAGACUUAAAUCUCUAUCACCAUUCACCGCCGAAAAGUGAAUACGACACUUAAAAAUGCGAAAUUUAAAGUUACAACUAAAAUGUUGAAAAAGACAACGACAAUUAAGUCUCACAAAAAUUAUUAUUAUUUUAUAACAAUAUAGUGUUGUUGAUGUUGUAUUAUAACAAUAAUCUACUAAAUUCAAAUGUUUUACAUAUAAUAUUUUAAGUAUAAGGUACAAGGGCACAUAUAAAUGUAUUUCUAAACGUGACAUGGUUAAAACAGCUGCACAUGACGCAAAGUACUUAUAUUAAUAUAAGAUAACAUUAAAAUCACAACAUUUCGAUAAACUAUAUAGAAAACAGAUAAAUAAAAAAUACAAUUAACAUAAUAUAUACGCAUACAUUUUUUUAAUGUUCAAAAUCAAAACGAAUAAUUAUGAUAAGCAUUCGAGGCGUCACUACGCUGUGUGGUUAUCAGCAGACAUAAAUAAUCACUACCUAUAUAAUUAUUGCACUUUGUAAAAUUGUGUACGUAUCCAUAAAAAAUACUAUUAAAGGCGUGAUGCUUAUUUAUGUUCUGAGUGUACUAAAUUGGAUUUUUAGAGCUGUCGGUUUCUAAAGGUUUAAACCAAGUUUUCGCUAUGUAGUAUUCUAGUUUGUGACAGUUGUAAUAAUCACCGAUAUUGGUCGAUAAACUUAAACUUCUACUAGACCUAACUUUUCGUUAAUAACGACGACCUCUCUAUAACUUUUUAAAGGUUUACUUUUAUAUCCGAUAAUCGAAUUAAUUGCUACCGAAAAUGUAAACGGAACAAAAAGCAUUAUCAACACUCGUAAAAAUAAAUAUAGAAUUCGCCAUUCUGAACUAGAAAUGUGGUACCUAAUACCCACACUGUGACCUUUGUCCGUCGUGUAUAAAUGACCGCAUGUGGUGAGAAUUGUUGGAAUUAUAAAUGUACCUGUGAACUCAGACGCCUAAGAGAAUAAAAGAGGUUAUUGAAAAGUUUCCCAGCAUGAGAUGUGUUCAAAUCUCAAAACAAUAGUAAAAUGUCGCAGUGUAUAUGAUAUAUUAACACAUAAUAAUAUUAUUGUCUGUGUACACGAUAAGUAGUCGAAAUAAUGCUUCGAUUUUCAACUUCAGUAACUUGUUUGAUGGAACAGUGAAUCUAGUCAGUACAUUGAAGAGGUCGAAGAGGUCAACAUUAAAAAUUCCCAGAAGUUUUCAAGAGCGCCAAGAAAAAAAAAAAUUAAGAAAAACCGGACAUUUUUAUACUAAAUCGGUUUUCGACCAAAUCGAUUUUUGUUUUUGAUGUAACUCUGAAACAA